rnacentral:tRNA from 1 species
AUUUAAAUAGUUUAAUUAAAAUAUUAAUUUGUGGAAUUAAAGAUUGUAUAAUAUUUUUAAAUA